GUGCUCACUCUGGCAUCACAUAUACUAAAAUUGGAACUAUACAGAGAUUAGCAUGGCCCCUUCACAAGGAUAACAUACAAAUUUGUGAAGAGUUCCAUACUUAA
ensembl:snRNA U6 U6 spliceosomal RNA